AAAUUUUCCUCAUAGAGAUGCACUGAUUCAAUAUUAAGAGGUCCUGAUUGGCCAAAAGGUGAGUUUUAAACUUUUAUAGAGGGGCUAAGGGGGACAAGCCACCUAAAUAGUGGGUUUAGCACUAUAGGGUCAGGAAAACAUGUUUGUGUCCCUAUAGUGUUCCUUUAAUUAAAACGAUCAGCUUUAAUCACAAAUUGAAAAGAUGCCG